CAGCCGCCACGGUAAUACGUAGGGCGCAAGCGUUAUCCGGAAUUAUUGGGCGUAAAGAGCUCGUAGGCGGUUUGUCGCGUCUGCCGUGAAAGUCCGGGGCUCAACCCCGGAUCUGCGGUGGGUACGGGCAGACUAGAGUGAUGUAGGGGAGACUGGAAUUCCUGGUGUAGCGGUGAAAUGCGCAGAUAUCAGGAGGAACACCGAUGGCGAGGGCAGGUCUCUGGGCAUUAACUGACGCUGAGGAGCGAAAGCAUGGGGAGCGAACAGGAUUAGAUACCCGCGUAGUCCCUGUCUCUUAUAC
rnacentral:rRNA from 1 species